UACAGGGGGUGCAAACGUUGCUCGGAAUUAUUGGGCGUAAAGCGCACGCAGGCGGUCUCUUAAGUUUCGAGUGACAGGUGGUGGCUCAACUGCCACAGGCCUUGGAAAACUGGGAGACUUGAGGACUUCAGAGGGAUGCGGAAUUCCAGGUGGAGCGGUGAAAUGCGUAGAGAUCUGGAGGAACACCAAAGGCGAAGGCAGCAUCCUGGGAAGUAACUGACGCUCAUGUGCGAAAGCUAGGGGAGCGAACGGG
rnacentral:rRNA from 1 species